UGAUGAAACAGCCGUGGUCUAUUUGGGACGUUUCAGAGUUUUCAGACCCGUGUGGCUGGCUUUGUACCUUCUGUUGCUCAUAUUUUAUUAUUAUUAUUAACUUCUUGGAGAUAACAGAAGUCAGGAGUCAGGCUUCAUAGAAACUUGUAAAUCAUCUGGUAUGAAAUGACAUUGGUUUUUCCUGAUGAGUGCAUUGUUGGAUAACACAGAAUUCACAACAUAUUUGAUAAGCUUCUCUUUCUCCCUCUUUGUGUGCAGGAGAAGUCCCACCAGUGAAUAUCUUUGCCAGCGCCCCGUCCAACAGAAACCUAGAGAAGUUCCAGAACCUGGACUGCAAGACCACACACUCCAACCUGGAAGUGGUGGAAAACUCCACCUUCGUAUUCCUGGCAACCAAACCCCAUGUCCUCCCUGCAGUCCUGCAAGAAAUAGCACCGGCCGUCCACUCCCACCACGUUGUCAUCUCCAUGGCGGCAGGCGUCACCCUCCAGACCCCUGCAACUAGAGCCCCCACAGCGUCUAUAAGUACAUGCUUCCCCAGUUUUUCAGAGGAGGGAUGUCUGUAAGUGUGGGCCAAACCACCUGUGCAGAAAGAAGAGGUUGUAGCACAUUGGGAGAGCACAUGAUCUGUAUACCGAACGACCUGCUUUCAAUUCCUGCCAUUUCCAGCUUUGGAAAAUGAAGUGUUUAAUAGGGGAUAGGGUUAAUGUCCUUUUCUGUAGAAGACCUUGCGGAGCUGAUGGUGGUCAGCCGUGAGCGUACUGAGCUUGACGGACCAACAGUGCCGCUUGGAAUAAGAGGGCCGCUUAAUAGGAUGGCUUUAUCCCAAGUCCCCUCGCUCAUCAUGAAUUGUUUCCUGAAUAGAUGCAAGCCCACAUCUAGUCUAGUUUUUCAAAAUAAUGGAGCCACCUUAGAGAUGCUGAUUGGCUAAUUGUGCUAUUCACCUGAGUCCUGAUAAAAUGCUGAUGGCGCUCAGAGGAUGCUAUCUGCACAUUUAUAAUUGGGUUACUUAAGGUUUUGCUUAAGCCGCCUAGAGUGGUCUUAAUCAACUAGAUAAGCGGGAUAUAAAAUAAAUAAAUAAAUAAAUAAACA
rnacentral:lncRNA from 1 species